CCUACGGGAGGCAGCAGUGGGGAAUAUUGCGCAAUGGGCGAAAGCCUGACGCAGCGACGCCGCGUGAGGGAUGAAGGUCUUCGGAUCGUAAACCUCUGUCAGCAGGGAAGAACGGUCACUGUGCUAAUCAGCAGUGAAUUGACGGUACCUGCAAAGGAAGCACCGUCUAACUCCGUGCCAGCAGCCGAGGUAAUACGGAGGGUGCGAGCGUUAAGCGGAAUUACUGGGCGUAAAGCGCUCGUAGGCGGUAUGUCAAGUCAAGGGUGAAAUCCCCGCGCUCAACGUGGGAACUGCCUUUGAAACUGGCAAACUGGAGUGUGUGAGAGGAUAGUGGAAUUCCAGGUGUAGGAGUGAAAUCCGUAGAUAUCUGGAGGAACAUCAGUGGCGAAGGCGACUAGCUGGAACAUAACUGACGCUGAGGAGCGAAAGCGUGGGUAGCAAACAGGAUUAGAUACCCCAGUAGUC
rnacentral:rRNA from 1 species